rnacentral:lncRNA from 1 species
CAUAUGUGUUUUAUACACAACAGCUAUAAUGAAGUAGCCAACAUGUUUCAGCACACAAACAUAAUGUGCAAAAUUUGUGAUUAAAUCGGAAUUACACGCCACAUCCAAAAAGUAGGCAUUGAAGAGAACUUUGAAAUAAUAAAUAUGAAGAUCUGCAAAGGGCCUUUCCUAGGUGCAACUUUAAAUAUUUGAAAGCUACCUAAUACAGUUAGUAGGCUCAAAAAAUCUUAACAGUUCCCAAGUAAGAAUAGAAUUGCCUUAGGCACCAAAAUUCACUUAANNNAGGCACCAAAAUUCACUUAAAUAGUCUCACCUUAAGGUUACCAGCGACAUUAAAUGUAACUGCAGUCGUAGAAUGAAUCACGUAAAAGAUGGAGAAGUUAAGACAGAAGG